rnacentral:tRNA from 1 species
CAGAGAAUAGUUUAGGUGAAAAAUAUUAAUUUUGGGGAUUAAUGACGGAUAUAAUUUCUUUCUCUGA